CUCUGAGUGGAAGGAGUGCUGAGUGAAGGGAGCGUGAGAUGAAUUGUGGUUGUGUUUUUCUGUCAGUUAUCUUGUUUAGUUUCUGCAUCUAUGUGGUGUGUAUUGUGGUUUGAAUGUGUAGCGUGACUUUUUUUUUGUGGGUUAGUUUUUGCAUGUUUGCAGCCGAUCAGCAUGCUGCAUGAUGGACUGGCGCAGACGCGUGAAGCACAGCGUGAAGAACAACGUGAAGCACGGCAUGAAGCACGGCGUGAAGCUUGCGUGCUGGGUGGACGACUGCGGCAUGGCCGUGAGGGGAUUGGUGGGUGGAAUGUGCGUGGAAUGCUUAUGCCUGUUCUGCGUCUUGCCUUACUGGCGGACAGAGUGACAGUAUCAAACAUUCUGCCGUUUCUUCUCGACAAGGUUCUUUUUGAAGAGCUGGUGAAGAAUGGGAAAGUAUCCUCAGGAUGCAGGUCUCCUCUGCUGAGAUGUGGUAUCUCACAGGAGACUGCUCCACAUUGUCCUCACCAAGGCCCAUGGUUCUCAGCCUGGUGAUUAAGGUUUCCAUGGACGGUGGUUCUAUCUGAACUCUGGACAGAGAUUAGGAAGUCAGGUUCUCCACAUCAACAGUAAAAUGGCUCCCAGCAGAGGCCGGUGGAGCAGCGGGGCAAACCUCUCUUUCUGACUGGAAGAGGAGUAGCUGCUGCCGAGCCACCCACCUCCCACUUGUGAUCUGAUUGCAGAUCAAAGGCGGCAACAAAGCCGGAUCUG
ensembl:lncRNA